UACAGAGGGUGCGAGCGUUAAUCGGAAUUACUGGGCGUAAAGCGUGCGUAGACGGUAGCGUAAGUCAGAUGUGAAAGCCCCGGGCUCAACCUGGGAACUGCAUUUGAGACUGCUCUGCUCGGGUGCGGAAGAGGGAAGCGGAAUUUCCGGUGUAGCGGUGAAAUGCGCAGAUAUCAGGAGGAACACCAAUGGCGAAGGCAGCUCGCUGGGACGGUACUGACGCUGAGGCGCGAAAGCGUGGGGAGCAAACAGG
rnacentral:rRNA from 1 species